rnacentral:rRNA from 1 species
CCUGGCGGCGUGCUUAACACAUGCAAGUCGUACGGUGAACACGGAGCUUGCUCUGUGGGAUCAGUGGCGAACGGGUGAGUAACACGUGAGCAACCUGCCCCUGACUCUGGGAUAAGCGCUGGAAACGGCGUCUAAUACUGGAUAUGUGACGUGACCGCAUGGUCUGCGUCUGGAAAGAAUUUCGGUUGGGGAUGGGCUCGCGGCCUAUCAGCUUGUUGGUGAGGUAAUGGCUCACCAAGGCGUCGACGGGUAGCCGGCCUGAGAGGGUGACCGGCCACACUGGGACUGAGACACGGCCCAGACUCCUACGGGAGGCAGCAGUGGGGAAUAUUGCACAAUGGGCGCAAGCCUGAUGCAGCAACGCCGCGUGAGGGACGACGGCCUUCGGGUUGUAAACCUCUUUUAGCAGGGAAGAAGCGAAAGUGACGGUACCUGCAGAAAAAGCGCCGGCUAACUACGUGCCAGCAGCCGCGGUAAUACGUAGGGCGCAAGCGUUAUCCGGAAUUAUUGGGCGUAAAGAGCUCGUAGGCGGUUUGUCGCGUCUGCUGUGAAAUCCGGAGGCUCAACCUCCGGCCUGCAGUGGGUACGGGCAGACUAGAGUGCGGUAGGGGAGAUUGGAAUUCCUGGUGUAGCGGUGGAAUGCGCAGAUAUCAGGAGGAACACCGAUGGCGAAGGCAGAUCUCUGGGCCGUAACUGACGCUGAGGAGCGAAAGGGUGGGGAGCAAACAGGCUUAGAUACCCUGGUAGUCCACCCCGUAAACGUUGGGAACUAGUUGUGGGGUCCAUUCCACGGAUUCCGUGACGCAGCUAACGCAUUAAGUUCCCCGCCUGGGGAGUACGGCCGCAAGGCUAAAACUCAAAGGAAUUGACGGGGACCCGCACAAGCGGCGGAGCAUGCG